UACAGAGGGGGCAAGCGUUAUUCGGAAUUAUUGGGCGUAAAGGGCGCGUAGGCGGCUUUGCAAGUGACGGGUGAAAGCCCUCGGCUUAACCGAGGAACUGCCUGUCAGACUGUGAGGCUUGAGACCGGGAGAGGUGAGUGGAAUUCCCAGUGUAGCGGUGAAAUGCGUAGAUAUUGGGAGGAACACCGGUGGCGAAGGCGGCUCACUGGACCACCACUGACGCUGAUGCGCGAAAGCCAGGGGAGCAAACGGG
rnacentral:rRNA from 1 species